CACGUAGGGGGCAAGCGUUGUCCGGAUUUAUUGGGCGUAAAGAGCUCGUAGGCGGCUUGUCACGUCGAUUGUGAAAGCUCGGGGCUUAACCCCGAGUCUGCAGUCGAUACGGGCUAGCUAGAGUGUGGUAGGGGAGAUCGGAAUUCCUGGUGUAGCGGUGAAAUGCGCAGAUAUCAGGAGGAACACCGGUGGCGAAGGCGGAUCUCUGGGCCAUUACUGACGCUGAGGAGCGAAAGCGUGGGGAGCGAACAGG
rnacentral:rRNA from 1 species